UCCCUGGUGGUCUAGUGGUUGAAACUCUGUGUUUCUAAUGCAGGGGUUUGGGUUUGAUCCCUGGUUGGGGAA
rnacentral:tRNA from 1 species